rnacentral:rRNA from 1 species
AUUGAACGCUGGCGGCAGGCCUAACACAUGCAAGUCGAACGGUAACAGGAAGAAGCUUGCUUCUUUGCUGACGAGUGGCGGACGGGUGAGUAAUGUCUGGGAAACUGCCUGAUGGAGGGGGAUAACUACUGGAAACGGUAGCUAAUACCGCAUAACGUCGCAAGACCAAAGAGGGGGACCUUCGGGCCUCUUGCCAUCGGAUGUGCCCAGAUGGGAUUAGCUAGUAGGUGGGGUAACGGCUCACCUAGGCGACGAUCCCUAGCUGGUCUGAGAGGAUGACGAGGCACAGUGGAAGUGAGACACGGUCCAGAGGAGUACGGGAGGCAGCAGUGGGGAAUAUAGGACGAAGGUCGGAAGCCUGAUGGAGGCAUGCAGCGUGGAUGAAGAAGGUCUUCGGAUUGUAAAGCCCUUUUAACGGGGAAGAAGAGAGUGGAACUGAAAAGCGCACACAUUGAAGUGACCUAAACAGAAAGCAACGGCUAACUACGUG